UACGUAGGGGGCGAGCGUUGUCCGGAUUUAUUGGGCGUAAAGAGCGUGUAGGCGGCCAGGUAGGUCUGCUGUGAAAACUCGAGGCUCAACCUCGAGACGUCGGCGGAAACCAUCUGGCUAGAGUCCGGAAGAGGAGAGUGGAAUUCAUGGUGUAGCAGUGAAAUGCGUAGAGAUCAUGAGGAAGACCAGUGGCGAAGGCGGGUCUCUGGACAGUUCCUGACACUGAGGCACGAAGGCCAGGGGAGCAAACGGG
rnacentral:rRNA from 1 species